rnacentral:rRNA from 1 species
CCGGCGACCGGCGCACGGGUGAGUAACACGUAUGCGACCUGCCCCCCGCAGGGGGAUAACCGGGAGAAAUCCCGACUAAUACCGCGUAACGCCGCGGACCUGCAUGGGUCUGCGGCCAAAGGAAGCGAUUCCGGCGGGGGAUGGGCAUGCGGCGCAUUAGCUAGUCGGCGGGGUAACGGCCCACCGAGGCGACGAUGCGUAGGGGUUCUGAGAGGAAGGUCCCCCACACUGGUACUGAGACACGGACCAGACUCCUACGGAAGGCAGCA